rnacentral:rRNA from 1 species
AUGGGACUGCGGUCGUUCUGUCAGAUAAGAAUCCAAAGUGGGUGCCUCCACUCCCUCCGGUAUAUGUCUUGCCACGUAAGAACAUCAAACGACCAAAGAAGGGGCUGCCAAAGCAUCUCGGAGAAGGGGAAGACGGUACAACUGAUUCAGCAAAUGCAUUAUCGGCGGGCUCCCAGGGGGGCACCGCCGGGCACAAUGAGUUAUAUAUGUUGGAACUGUCGGGGCGCAGGCAAGGCCUCGACAGUUCGCGAACUUCGCGAUUUAGCGAAGAACUAUGCCCCUACUGUGCUUGCACACAUACUUGGCACUUGGAGCCUUUGA